GGGGCUGAUUCUGGAUUCGACGGGAUUUGCGAAACCCAAGGUGCAUGCCGAGGGGCGGUUGGCCUCGUAAAAAGCCGCAAAAAAAUAGUCGCAAACGACGAAAACUACGCUUUAGCAGCUUAAUAACCUGCUUAGAGCCCUCUCUCCCUAGCCUCCGCUCUUAGGACGGGGAUCAAGAGAGGUCAAACCCAAAAGAGAUCGCGUGGAUGCCUUGCCUGGGGUUGAAGCGUUAAAACGAAUCAGGCUAGUCUGGUAGUGGCGUGUCCGUCCGCAGGUGCCUGGCGAAUGUAAAGACAGACUAAGCAUGUAGUACCGAGGAUGUAGGAAUUUCGGACGCGGGUUCAACUCCCGCCAGCUCCACCA
rnacentral:tmRNA from 1 species